rnacentral:rRNA from 1 species
AUUGAACGCUGGCGGCAGGCCUAACACAUGCAAGUCGAGCGGACGAAGGGAGCUUGCUCCUGGAUUCAGCGGCGGACGGGUGAGUAAUGCCUAGGAAUCUGCCUGGUAGUGGGGGAUAACGUCCGGAAACGGGCGCUAAUACCGCAUACGUCCUGAGGGAGAAAGUGGGGGAUCUUCGGACCUCACGCUAUCAGAUGAGCCUAGGUCGGAGUAGCUAGUUGGUGGGGUAAAGGCCUACCAAGGCGACGAUCCGUAACUGGUCUGAGAGGAUGAUCAGUCACACUGGAACUGAGACACGGUCCAGACUCCUACGGGAGGGAGCAGUGGGGAAUAUUGGACAAUGGGCGAAAGCCUGAUCCAGCCAUGCCGCGUGUGUGAAGAAGGUCUUCGGAUUGUAAAGCACUUUAAGUUGGGAGGAAGGGCAGUAAGUUAAUACCUUGCUGUUUUGACGUUACCAACAGAAUAAGCACCGGCUAACUUCGUG